GACGAACGCUGGCGGCGUGCCUAACACAUGCAAGUCGAGCGAAUGAAGUUCCUUCGGGAACGGAUUUAGCGGCGGACGGGUGAGUAACACGUGGGCAACCUGCCUCAUAGAGGGGAAUAGCCUUCCGAAAGGGAGAUUAAUACCGCAUAAGAUUGUAGUACCGCAUGGUACAGCAAUUAAAGGAGCAAUCCGCUAUGAGAUGGGCCCGCGGCGCAUUAGCUAGUUGGUGAGGUAACGGCUCACCAAGGCGACGAUGCGUAGCCGACCUGAGAGGGUGAUCGGCCACAGUGGGACUGAGACACGGCCCAGACUCCUACGGGAGGCAGCAGUGGGGAAUAUUGCACAAUGGGGGAAACCCUGAUGCAGCAACGCCGCGUGAGUGAUGACGGCCUUCGGGUUGUAAAGCUCUGUCUUCAGGGACGAUAAUGACGGUACCUGAGGAGGAAGCCACGGCUAACUACGUG
rnacentral:rRNA from 1 species